rnacentral:rRNA from 1 species
UACAGAGGUCCCAAGCGUUGUUCGGAAUUAUUGGGCGUAAAGCGCGUGUAGGCGGUUUUUUAAGUCUGAUGUGAAAGCCCCGGGCUCAACCUGGGAAGUGCAUUGGAAACUGGGAGACUUGAAUACGGGAGAGGGCAGUGGAAUUCCUGGUGUAGGAGUGAAAUCCGUAGAUAUCAGGAGGAACACCGGUGGCGAAGGCGGCUGCCUGGACCGAUAUUGACGCUGAGACGCGAAAGCGUGGGGAGCAAACAGG